UGAUAUUCCUAUUGACAUGGA
ensembl:piRNA 21ur-1342 ncRNA